rnacentral:lncRNA from 1 species
GGUGACUCCAGACUUCUUAGGAUGCUGAAAAGGUGCUAUCCACAGCUGGUUUGCUAGAGUUUAUCUCGCUUGCCAAAGACACUUUUGGAAGAACUAAAAAUUUUUGCUCAUGGUAUGUGCUGCAGAAGACAGAGCCAGAGAAAUGACUGCACCCUUUGUAGGAGGCCAGAAUGCAGUGAGUGAACCCAGUCAUUUGCAGGCUUAAACGAGGUGAGGCAAACUCCACUGAUAUUUAAUGAAAGACAUUCAAAUGUUGGAAGUGUUUGUCUUUUGUAUGGUGUUUGUUCAUGGCCUUGGGGACAGAGCAAGAAGGACUCAGCCUUCAAGGACCCCCGCUGUGAAGGAGGCAGCAAAGAAUCAGGAAUCUGCUCCAUGUAGGGAUGCUUCGCCAGUGUGGGUUUGGCUGCAGUAGCAGUAGUGUUCCUUAUGCCUUCUUUGCGGGGUGACUCUUCUGAUCUCUAAAAUGCAAUUAACGUUUGUUUUAAUUUU